GUUCCUGUAGCGCAAUGGAUAGUGUGUGCAUUGGACUUCUCAUCCAAAGGUCAUGGGUUUGAAUCCCACCUGGGACG